GUGUGCGGGCUCUGGUGAGGCUGGCGCGGUUUUGUAACCACGAAGGCGUGCAAGAGCAGGCAGCACGCGCGUUGGCGAAUCUUGCGGCUCAUGGAGACAGCAACGGUAACAACGCUGCUGUAGGGCGGGAGGAAGGCGCGCUGGAAGCUCUGGUGCAGCUGACUUGCUCAAAUCAUGAAGGUGUCAG